UCAAACUUGGUCAUUUAGAGGAAGUAAAAGUCGUAACAAGGUCUCCGUUGGUGAACCAGCGGAGGGAUCAUUACCGAGUCUUCGCACUCAAAUAACCCUUCUGUGGACCUGUAUAAAACCGUUGCCUCGGCGGGCGGCCCCAUCUGUGGGCCGGACAGCCCAGUCGUCUUUAGGGGGGAAACUCCCUGAGGCACUGGCGCCGGCCGCUGGCCCCAAAACAAAAACUCUAGUAACCUUUACCUUCUGAGUUUCAACGCAAGAAGUAAAGUCAAAACUUUCAACAACGGAUCUCUUGGCUCUGGCAUCGAUGAAGAACGCAGC
rnacentral:misc_RNA from 1 species